rnacentral:rRNA from 1 species
UACGGGGGGGGCAAGCGUUGUUCGGAAUUACUGGGCGUAAAGGGCUCGUAGGUGGCCAACUAAGUCAGACGUGAAAUCCCUCGGCUUAACCGGGGAACUGCAUCUGAUACUGGAUGGCUUGAGUUUGGGAGAGGGAUGCGGAAUUCCAGGUGUAGCGGUGAAAUGCUUAGAUAUCGUAAGGAAGACCAGUGGCGAAGGCGGGUCUCUGGACAGUUCCUGACGCUGAGACGCGAAAGCGUGGGGAGCAAACAGG